AGUUGGAUUUGUGGCGGCAGCGGCCGGGCCAUUUUUGGCGUCGGCGGCGUGCUGCCAUCCUUGGGUGGAGCCUGUGUGGCAUUAGGUUGUCGCGCAGGGGAUGCCCAUCAUUUACUGUGAAAAAAUCAGCGCGUUCAAAGCAGGCUUACGCCGUUGAAUGUAUUAGCAUGGAAUAAUAAGAUAGGACCUUGGUACUAUUUUGUUGGUUUGCGCACCGAGGUAAUGAUUAAUAGGGACAGUUGGGGGUAUUCGUAUUCCAUUGUCAGAGGUGAAAUUCUUGGAUUUCUGGAAGACGAACUACUGCGAAAGCAUUUACCAAGGAUGUUUUCAUUAAUCAAGAACGAAAGUUAGGGGAUCGAAGAUGAUUAGAUACCAUCGUAGUCA
rnacentral:rRNA from 1 species